rnacentral:tRNA from 1 species
AUUUAUAUAGUUUAUUUAAAACAUUAUAUUUUCAAUAUAAAAAAAAGAUAUUUCUUUAUAAAUU